CCAAGCAGCUGGAAGAAGGCAAUUGUGGUAUUGGUGCCCAAAAAGGGAGCUAACAGGAAGCUGCUCAAGUCCUACAGGCCUAUCAGCCUAUUACCUAUGAUAGCCAAAGUUAUGGAGAGGUGUAUCCUGCACCACAUCAAGGAGACCUGAACACAGAAGACCUGCUCGAGCAUUUCCUGAACUUAACAACAAAGUUUCUGGAUAAUGCCCGGCAAAGCAAGAAUCCCACUGUCCGUGCUUCUUGCACCAACAAAUUUCACAGUGACCGCAGGCCUCUCCAUGCGGACACUGUCUAAGAAGAAGACGUGGACCACAUGCGAUGACCAGUUCCAGCACCACAUCGAGGACCAUGGGCUAAUUUUUAGGUUUACUUUACGUUAGAUUUAGGAAGCAAGAGAGGUUGUAGUAGGCUUAAGUUUUUAAGUAGAAUAAGGUAGA